GAUGAAGAACGCAGCGAAAUGCGAUACGUAAUGUGAAUUGCAGAAUUCAGUGAAUCAUCGAAUCUUUGAACGCAUAUUGCGCUCUCUGGUAUUCCGGAGAGCAUGCUUGUUUGAGUAUCAGUAAACACCUCAACUUCCAUAUCUUUUUUGAAAUGGGAGUUGGACUUGAGUGAUCCCAACGCUUUUCCUCACCGAAAGGUGGCGGGUUACUUGAAAUGCAGGUGCAGCUGGACUUUUCUCUGAGCUAUAAGCAUAUCUAUUUAGUCUGCCUAAAAAACAGAUUAUUACCUUUGCUGCAGCUAACAUAAAGGAGAUUAGUUCUUGUGCUGACUGAUGCAGGAUUCACAAAGACAGCUUCGGCCGACUUUGUAAACUCGAUCUCAAAUCAAGUAAGACUACCCGCUGAACUUAAGCAUAUCAAUAAGCGGAGGA
rnacentral:misc_RNA from 1 species